rnacentral:rRNA from 1 species
GAACGCUGGCGGCGUGCCUAAAACAUGCAAGUCGAACGGUGUUCCCGCAAGGGGGCACAGUGGCGAACGGCUGAGUAACACGUGAGUGACCUGUCCUUGGGUGGGGGAUAACAGCCCGAAAGGGCUGCUAAUACCGCAUACGACCCCUAGAGUAGAGUCUGGGGGGGAAAGGUAUUUCGCCCGAGUGAGGGGCUCGCGGCCCAUCAGGUAGUUGGUUGGGGUAAUGGCCCACCAAGCCGAUGACGGGUAGCUGGUCUGAGAGGAUGGCCAGCCAGACUGGGACUGAGACACGGCCCAGACUCCUACGGGAGGCAGCAGUUAGGAAUCUUGCGCAAUAGGCGAAAGCCUGACGCAGCGACGCCGCGUGGACGAAGAAGGCCUUCGGGUCGUAAAGUCCUUUUCCGAGGGACGAUAAUGACGGUACCUCGGGAAUAAGCCCCAGCUAACUACGUGCCAGCAGCCGCGGUAAUACGUAGGGGGCAAGCGUUGUCCGGAUUUACUGGGCGUAAAGAGCGCGCAGGCGGCCUGGCAAGUCGAUUGUGAAAUCUCCGGGCUCAACUCGGAGGGGUCAGUCGAUACUGCUAGGCUUGUGAGGGCGGUAGGGGGAGAUGGAAUUCCCGGUGUAGUGGUGAAAUGCGUAGAUAUCGGGAGGAACACCGAUGGCGAAAGCGAUCUCCUGGGCCGCACCUGACGCUGAGGCGCGAAAGCGUGGGGAGCGAACUGAAUUAGAUACUCAGGUAGUCCACGCCCUAAACGAUGGACACUAGGUGUGGGGGGUAUCGACCCCUCCCGUGCCGCAGCUAACGCAAUAAGUGUCCCGCCUGGGGAGUACGGCCCGCAGGCUAAAACUC